AUUGAACGCUGGCGGCAGGCCUAACACAUGCAAGUCGAGCGGAUGAAGGGAGCUUGCUCCUGGAUUCAGCGGCGGACGGGUGAGUAAUUCCUAGGAAUCUGCCUGGUAGUGGGGGAUAACGUCCGGAAACGGGCGCUAAUACCGCAUACGUCCUGAGGGAGAAAGUGGGGGAUCUUCGGACCUCACGCUCUCAGAUGAGCCUAGGUCGGAUUAGCUAGUUGGUGGGGUAAAGGCCUACCAAGGCGACGAUCCGUAACUGGUCUGAGAGGAUGAUCAGUCACACUGGAACUGAGACACGGUCCAGACUCCUACGGGAGGCAGCAGUGGGGAAUAUUGGACAAUGGGCGAAAGCCUGAUCCAGCCAUGCCGCGUGUGUGAAGAAGGUCUUCGGAUUGUAAAGCACUUUAAGUUGGGAGGAAGGGCAGUAAGUUAAUACCUUGCUGUUUUGACGUUACCAACAGAAUAAGCACCGGCUAACUUCGUG
rnacentral:rRNA from 1 species